UAUCAUUAUAAAGGAAUCCAUUUUGGGUGUUAUUAUUCUAUUAAACUAUUGAGUGUCUUCUCCAAAAUCCAUAGAAUUUAUGUUAGGUGGUUGACCCAUUGGUGCAUAUAUCACGUGAUUGAUGUUAGAUUUUGCAAAUGACAAGAAAGCAAGGGAGCACAGCUUUAGGACUUAGCACAAACAGUUCUUCAGCUUCCCUAUUUCGACCAACUUUCCAAGACAAAGAAUCGAACCCAGAAUGAGAAAAUGCUUGAUCAAACUUAUGGAUUUUCCCAGCAAUGACUCGGCAAACAAACAGAGCUUUCCUCCUAUUAAAAUGGGCUUCCACGUAAGCCAAGGCUCUUUCACUAGUUGAAGUGGCAAAGAUACCAACGCUGCCCACGAAAUCUUUGUUGGCCGAAAACCCAUUUCUCAGAAUGCGACAAGCUCCACACUUGUCAAGAUUGCAUAGGCAUAGGCCAGAAGAAGAGGAGCCCAAUGAACAAGCGACGUUGGUGGCGUAGAACCUCAGUAGUUCGUUCCCGUCAGCCAGGCAACGCGGGUCAACUUUCUUGGGAUGUUUCCGGGCUUUGAUUUUGACCAUUUCUCUGUAGUCCUCAAACCAAGUCAGAAUGUUUUGCAUGUUGUGAACUUUCAAUAUGGUCUCCAUCUUGAUAUGUUGCUUCUCAUCUUGCCCUGUUCUACAAAUUAUUUCGACUAUCUUUCUCGAUGAGUCUCCUUCCUGUAGUUUGCUCACUAAGAGACAAAAACGACAAUAAUAUACUUUCAUUUGCUGGUGAACAUAAAAUAAA